rnacentral:rRNA from 1 species
UACAGAGGGUGCGAGCGUUAAUCGGAAUUACUGGGCGUAAAGCGUGCGUAGACGGUAGCGUAAGUCAGAUGUGAAAGCCCGGGCUCAACCUGGGAAUUGCAUUUGGAAGACUGGCUCUGCUCGGGGUGCGGAAGGAGGGAAGCGGAAUUUCCGGUGUAGCGGUGAAAUGCGUAGAUAUCGGAAGGAACACCAGUGGCGGAAAGCGGCUUCCUGGUCCGAACACCGACGUCGAGGCACGAA